GAUAACUAGCUGUCGGGGCUCUUAGAGCUUCGGUGGCGCAGCUAACGCAUUAAGUUAUCCGCCUGGGGAGUACGGCCGCAAGGUUAAAACUCAAAUGAAUUGACGGGGGCCUGCACAAGCGGUGGAGCAUGUGGUUUAAUUCGAAGCAACGCGCAGAACCUUACCAGCGUUUGACAUGUCCGGACGAUUUCGGGAGACCGAUCUCUUCCCUUCGGGGACUGGAACACAGGUGCUGCAUGGCUGUCGUCUGCUCGUGUCGUGAGAUGUUGGGUUAAGUCCCGCAACGAGCGCAACCCUCGUCCUUAGUUGCCAUCAUUUAGUUGGGCACUCUAAGGAAACCGCCGGUGAUAAGCCGGAGGAAGGUGGGGAUGACGUCAAGUCCUCAUGGCCCUUACGCGCUGGGCUACACACGUGCUACAAUGGCGGUGACAGUGGGCAGCAAUCUCGCAAGGGUGAGCUAAUCUCCAAAAGCCGUCUCAGUUCGGAUUGUUCUCUGCAACUCGAGAGCAUGAAGGCGGAAUCGCUAGUAAUCGCGGAUCAGCAUGCCGCGGUGAAUACGUUCCCAGGCCUUGUACACACCGCCCGUCACACCAUGGGAGUUGGAUUCACCCGAAGGCAGUGCGCUAACCGCAAGGAGGCAGCUGACCACGGUGGGUUCAGCGACUGGGGUGAAGUCGUAACAAGGUAGCCGU
rnacentral:rRNA from 1 species